GAUGAAGAACGUAGUGAAAGCGCGAAACGUAAUGUGAAUUGCAGAAUUCAGUGAAUCAUCGAAUCUUUGAACGCACCUUGCGCUCCUUGGUAUUCCGAGGAGCAUGCCUGUUUGAGUGUCGUGAAGUCUCUCGGGCCCUCCGCCUUUUCGGUCGGGGCGGCUUCGGAUUUGGACGCCUGCCGCCUCUCUCUAUAAAACGGAAGCGGCUCGUCUUUAAACGCAUUAGCAAAAGCGGAGCGGUGCCUCUCUCUCCAGACGCGAUUUAAACCUUUGUGUCCGGACCGAAACACCCGAUGCCCUUUAGCUGACAGCCGUCCGCGCUUUGCCGGACAGAAAUCACUUUCUUCUCUCUCUCUCUCUCUCUGACCUCAAAUCAGGCAGGACUACCCGCUGAACUUAAGCAUAUCAAUAAGCGGAGGA
rnacentral:misc_RNA from 1 species